rnacentral:rRNA from 1 species
GACGUAGGGCGCGAGCGUUGUCCGGAUUUAUUGGGCGUAAAGAGCUCGUAGGCGGUUUGUCGCGUCUGCUGUGAAAAUCCGGGGCUCAACCCCGGACUUGCAGUGGGUACGGGCAGACUAGAGUGUGGUAGGGGAGACUGGAAUUCCUGGUGUAGCGGUGGAAUGCGCAGAUAUCGGGAAGAACACCCGGUGGCGAAGGCGGUUCUCUGG